AAUCUGUGUGAUAUUUAAUGUCAUUAAAAGGAGAAUUAUUAGUUGGCAAAACACAUUAUUUCUCAUACCCAAAUGUAUGGCAAAAUGGAAGAUUUACUAAAUGAUAAUCAUCUUUGUAAUGAGGUUUAUGUAAGAGUCCGUAGUAUAAACUUGCCAAAAAAACAGCAUAAACCUUGCAUUAAUUUAGUGUUUUAGAUGUAUCUUUAAUGAGAAGACAUCUUAAUAGCUCACCUUUGACCUCUCAAUAAUAAUAAGAAAUAAGAUACAUGUUAUUGCCAAAUUUUAUUAUGAUUCCCAUGAAAUACCCCUGACACAGACCCUGCAUUUAGGCUUUGCAGAUGUAAACUCUCGAUAGAUCUUUGUCUUUCAUCGUUGGUGAUUCGUGUGUCAAGGACGCCAUUGUAUUUUCUGUCAAAACAAAGUGCUAAGACAUGCAUAGAAACCGAAGACUAUUUAAACUAGACAAAUACUCAUUUCAGGUUGUAGAGGAAAGUCCUUAAUGCUGAAAAUCUUGUUAUGAUUGUAUAUCACUU
rnacentral:lncRNA from 1 species